UGGGAGACGCCUUGAAUAUGAUAUUAUUAAAAUUAGUUAUUUGUACAGGAGAAGAAAUAAAUAGGAUUUUCUUAAUGAUUAUAGACAUUCGUGUAUGAACAUUGUUAUUAUCUCAGUGCUUAAAUAAUGUAGUGACCCAAAAACAUUAUCUACAAUUUGGAAAAUGGCAGCUAGAAUCAGAGGCUGUGCUAAAAUGCGGCAUGAAAAAAGUGACCAUGGAUCGGAUAAGUGUCCUGAUGACGAUGUGGCUAUGACAAACAGGUGAGGCAUCAAGAAGACUAAAAUGGCAUCCGGAGAUCCAGAAAAUCGGAUACAUCUAUUUCGUUUGCAAAUUCUAAUAAUAGAUGGAGGCCUGCUUGUAUUGAGAUGUAUACUUGAUCAGACCAUAGCUGCCCAAGGCCUAACUCUAAAGGCAUGUCUUAACAAUGAAAGGUCAAAAAUUACACGAUUGCAUGGCAAAAACAAAAUCAGCCAGGAUCAAUAUGACUUAUUGUUCCCAGUGGGGGGUCCAGACCCAACUACGGCAGAUAUGGACAUUACGCUUAUCAGUUGCCUUCUUGCAAACCUUAAAUGUUUCGGAUUAAAUAAGAAAUUUCAAUGGAAUGCAACACCCGUAUCAACCGAUAUAUCAGUUGAGGCAGAUAUAUGUCGUUUGAGAAAUUUCCGGAAUAAAAUUUGUCAUAUGUCAACAACUACUGGAAUAGAACAAAUUGAGUUUGCAACUUUGUGGAAUGAUAUUGAGCAGGUA